CCGGGCGUAGCUCAGAGGCAGAGCGCUUGUCUUGGGCACAAGAGGCCGGGAUCUCGGAAUUCCCCGCUCGGA
rnacentral:tRNA from 1 species